UACGGAGGGUGCAAACGUUGCUCGGAAUCAUUGGGCGUAAAGCGAGCGUAGGCGGUCUCGUAAGUCGGAUGUGAAAGCCCUCGGCUCAACCGAGGAAGUGCACCCGAAACUGUGAGACUUGAGUGUCGGAGAGGGUGACGGAAUUCCCGGUGUAGAGGUGAAAUUCGUAGAUAUCGGGAGGAACAUCAGUGGCGAAGGCAGUCACCUGGACGAUAACUGACGCUGAGGCUCGAAAGCGUGGGGAGCAAACAGG
rnacentral:rRNA from 1 species